ACAAUACUUGCGAACAGCCAGUGGCAAGCCUAUGUUAUUGCUUGACAACUAUAAAUUUCAUUUGAAACACGACUACGGCAGCAAGAGAAGAUGGGUGUGCGGCCAAGCUCGAAAAGGAUGCAAAGUCACUGUCGCCACAUUCUCGACUACAUAGCACGAAUGGGGACACCGAGGUUUUCACUAAGUUCAGCGUUUUUCGGCGUGACCCGAAAUGGGAGGCGUUGCUUAGACAUCGGGGGCUGCAAGUUCACCCUGCACCAACACGAAGGAACGAAGAUCAGGUGGCGAUGUAUGAAGAAGACGUCAGGAUGUUCGGCAUUCGUGCUCACCGUUAAUAACGAUAUCAUCAAGAUACGGGAAAUACACAAUCAUUAAAUACUAGUCGUCAAAGUCAUUAUAAUUAGGCAAAUGUUGAUUAGGUUGCCAGCGUGUGUAGUUUUUAGAGAUGAUGGAAAUCAUAUACAUGUUUUUGUGGUUUUUUUUUCAACUUUGUGGGAUUUAGGAUAUGCAUGGAUGUAUCAGUCAAUGAAGCCCUAUUAAAUAAUUUAAAGUGAAGAUAAAUUAUAAAGUAAUAAUUGUACAAGAAGACAGUUUAGUCGUGACCACCUUUAUGACAUUGAAGUAUGUCGUGAAACAUUCUCGAUACAAGAUAUGAGUAUUAAACAACAACAAUAAUAUAAAUAAAAAUAAUAACCAAAAUUUAGCUGAUUCAUUUGAUUCCCAUUAUAACUUUGGAGGAGAGUAGAUUAUAAUUUUUAUAUAAUGAGAAUUGAUAAAAAAUAAAAAAGUCAUUUAACUUUUGUUUUGAAGAUUUU